rnacentral:rRNA from 1 species
AUUGAACGCUGGCGGCAGGCUUAACACAUGCAAGUCGAGCGGAGAGAGGUAGCUUGCUACUGAUCUUAGCGGCGGACGGGUGAGUAAUGCUUAGGAAUCUGCCUAUUAGUGGGGGACAACAUUUCGAAAGGAAUGCUAAUACCGCAUACGUCCUACGGGAGAAAGCAGGGGAUCUUCGGACCUUGGGCUAAUAGAUGAGCCUAAGUCGGAUUAGCUAGUUGGUGGGGUAAAGGCCUACCAAGGCGACGAUCUGUAGCGGGUCUGAGAGGGUGAUCCGCCAAACUAGGACUGAGACACGGCCCAGACUCCUACGGGAGGCAGCAGUGGGGAAUAUUGGACAAUGGGCGGAAGCCUGAUCCAGCCAUGCCGCGUGUGUGAAGAAGGCCUUAUGGUUGUAAAGCACUUUAAGCGAGGAGGAGGCUACUUUAGUUAAUACCUAGAGAUAGUGGACGUUACUCGCAGAAUAAGCACCGGCUAACUCUGUGCCAGCCGCCGCAGUAACAC